GGGGCAGUAAGAUAUGGACGAACUACUCGGGUUGCAGGAAAGCUGGAGCCUAUCCCAGCUAGCUUCGGGCGAAAGGCGGACUACACUUUGAACUGAUUGCCAGUCAGUCGCAGGGCAGAUAUCGACACCAUCACUGAGCGGGAAUCAGUCCCAUGCUGCCCGCACCCAAGGCAGGCGUAUCUACCACUACACCAUCAGUGACUACUGAUGCGCCAGACUUGUCCAAGAGAGUUCUACAGAGAGGUCUCAACUAUUUCACGCAAGAAUAUGUACACGGAAUUAAGAUUUUGGACGGAGCAGGACGCAAUGUCAGAUUUAUUGCGAAAUGUUCCCGAUCAAUGCAAAAAAGUUUGACGCCUCACAAACUUCAUACUGAAAUCCAACAGGAUCAAAUGGUGGAAUCGUACUGCGCAUGUAAAGCUGGGUGAGUACUUUUUACUUGGAAAGAUCACAAAUAAUAUCAUUGUAGUCUUUACAAGUGAGUGGGUAUAUUCAUUUGACUUGGCUCGUAAUGGAACCCAGUGCUCUGUCUUAAAAGUCCGAUGUGAUACAAAUAGGCAAAUAGACAUUUCUCUUGCAUGACAUCACGCAUUUAUGUAUCCCUAACUCAACUCUUUGCAUAAAACAUGACACAUUUCAUUCAGCAGGUCAGUGAUACGCUAACAAAUUGAAAGUUGUUCUCCUGCAAUGCACAAAGCCCUGAUAAUAAUUCAAUCAAACUCCGAGAAGAUACUUCUCCCUCACUUACCUUCAAACAUACAGACUUGUGUUUGUUGAUAUUGUUCACAUUUAUUGUACGUGCGCUCUUCCGCAAGCCUUAAUCCAUUGUAAACGCUUCGUCAACUGUGUUUUAGGCUCUAGAAAAUGAAUCAAAAGGGCCCCUUGUAACGUAGCCGGAUAUCUUUCAUCAGAAUUGCACGUUUCCCAAGCGCAUCUGAGGACCAUUUUCUUCGUAACAUUACCUUUUCCAAGCGCACGCUACUGACAACCAGCAUUGCUUGUGGGACAAUACGGCGAGAGGGGCGUGUCAAGCCAGGGGUUAAGACAAUGCGGCUAUCUGAUUGGCUAUUAUUGUACGAGUGAUCGACAGGUCGGAAAGGUCCGUUAUUCCAAGUGUGGCGUGGAAGAAAACAAGGGCUGUUUCUUUGCUUCUGUGCUGCCAUUUUGGUUAGCAACCGAGCUCAAGUGUGUUUCUCCGCAAUUCACAAACUCUUCUUUGAAGUUUUAGUGGGCAAUUUUGGUCUCAGCAAAGCGACCGUUGUGGAUGACAGUGGCUUAGUUGUCACCCGUGUCUCGCGUAUCUUUUCUGCCGUGCUUUUUACUUGCCUGUCCUGUCCAGUCUUGUACUGCAAGGCAUAAUUAGUCCUUCAUUAAACCUUCAGACGCCGCACUAAUGGACUCUGCCAUUCAUACGACUUCAUUUAAGCUGCAAAUCAAGCAGUAAGCGGUCAGGACACUACUCUGGUGUCAUAACGUGGGUGCGCCACAGGCUUGAUUAAUGCCCAGCUGUGAGGAAAAGGCCAAUC